CCUACGGGAGGCAGCAGUGGGGAAUCUUGCACAAUGGAGGAAACUCUGAUGCAGCGAUGCCGCGUGAGUGAAGAAGGCCUUUGGGUUGUAAAGCUCUUUUGUAGGGGAAGAUAAUGACUGUACCCUAAGAAUAAGGUCCGGCUAACUUCGUGCCAGCAGCCGCGGUAAUACGAAGGGACCUAGCGUAGUUCGGAAUUACUGGGCGUAAAGCGCGCGUAGGCCGUUGAGUUAGUUAAUUGUGAAAUCCCAAAGCUUAACUUUGGAACUGCAAUUAAAACUGCUCGACUAGAGUUUGAUAGAGGAAAGCGGAAUACAUAGUGUAGAGGUGAAAUUCGUAGAUAUUAUGUAGAACACCAGUUGCGAAGGCGGCUUUCUGGAUCAACACUGACGCUGAGGCGCGAAAGUAUGGGUAGCAAAGAGGAUUAGAUACCCUCGUAGUCCAUACCAUAAACGAUGAUUGCUAGAUGUUGGAAAUUUAUUUUCAGUAUCGCAGCUAACGCAUUAAGCAAUCCGCCUGGGGAGUACGACCGCAAGGUUAAAAACUCAAAAGGAAAUUGACGG
rnacentral:rRNA from 1 species